rnacentral:rRNA from 1 species
AGCAGCCGCGGUAAUUCCAGCUCCAAUAGCGUAUAUUAAAGUUGUUGCAGUUAAAAAGCUCGUAGUUGAAUUUCGGGAUCAAUAUGUUGGUCGUGCCUUGGUACGUACUAAUUUAUUGGUUUCUUCCUUCUGACGAACCAUGAUGUCAUUAAUUUGGUGUCUUGGGGAAUCAGGACUGUUACUUUGAAAAAAUUAGAGUGUUUAAAGCAGGCUCACGCUUGAAUACAUUAGCAUGGAAUAAUGAAAUAGGACGUUUGAUUCUAUUUUGUUGGUUUCUAGGAUUGACGUAAUGAUUAAUAGGGAUAGUUGGGGGCAUUAGUAUUCAAUUGUCAGAGGUGAAAUUCUUGGAUUUAUUGAAGACUAACUACUGCGAAAGCAUUUGCCAAGGAUGUUUUCAUUAAUCUAAGAACGAAAGUUAGGGGAUCGAAGACGAUCAGAUACCGUCGUAGUCUUAACCAUAAACUAUGCCGACUAGGGAUCGGAUGAUGUUAAUUUUUAANGACUCAUUCGGCGCCUUACG